GAUGAACGCUGGCGGCGUGCCUAAUACAUGCAAGUCGAGCGAACAGACGAGGAGCUUGCUCCUCUGACGUUAGCGGCGGACGGGUGAGUAACACGUGGAUAACCUACCUAUAAGACUGGGAUAACUUCGGGAAACCGGAGCUAAUACCGGAUAAUAUAUUGAACCGCAUGGUUCAAUAGUGAAAGACGGUUUUGCUGUCACUUAUAGAUGGAUCCGCGCCGCAUUAGCUAGUUGGUAAGGUAACGGCUUACCAAGGCAACGAUGCGUAGCCGACCUGAGAGGGUGAUCGGCCACACUGGAACUGGGAAACGGUCCAGACUCCUACGGGAGGCAGCAGUAGGGAAUCUUCCGCAAUGGGCGAAAGCUUGACGGAGCAACGCCGCGUGAGUGAUGAAGGUCUUCGGAUCGUAAAACUCUGUUAUUAGGGAAGAACAAAUGUGUAAGUAACUAUGCACGUCUUGACGGUAACUAAUCAGAAAGCCACGGCUAACUACGUG
rnacentral:rRNA from 1 species